rnacentral:rRNA from 1 species
AGGAUUAACGUUGGCGGCGUGCCUAACACAUGCAAGUCGAACGAGGUAGCAAUACCUAGUGGCAGACGGGUGAGUAACGCGUGGUCAACCUACCGUUGAGUGGGGGAUAACUAGCCGAAAGGUUAGCUAAUACCGCAUACGAGUCUCGGGGGCAUCCCUGGGCCUUAAAAGGAGCAAUCCGCUCGAUGACGGGACCGCGUCCCAUUAGCUAGAUGGUGGGGUAACGGCCUACCAUGGCACCGAUGGGUAGCUGGUUUGAGAGAGCGACCAGCCACACUGGGACUGAGAAACGGCCCAGACUCCUACGGGAGGCAGCAGUGAGGAAUUUUCCGCAAUGGGCGAAAGCCUGACGGAGCGACGCCGCGUGUGGGAAGAAGGCCUUCGGGUCGUAAACCACUGUCGAGGGACGAUAAUGACGGUACCUUGGAGGAAGCCCGGCUAACUACGCGCCAGCAGCCGC